GAAAUCUAUGGUGAUUUAGGGGGGGUAAUACAACUGGUGUAAUAGUUCAACGGUAUUAAUGGGGGUAUAUCGUGCGUAGGCGGUUAAUUAAGGCAAGUGUGAAGGCCCCUCGCGUAACUUGGGAAUUGCAUUCGAUACUUGUUAGCUAGAGUGUGGGUGAGGAUGGUAGAAUUGCAGGUGUAGCGGUGAAAUGCGUAGAUAUCUGGUGGAAUACCGAUGGCGAAGGCAGUCAUCUGGCCUAACACUGAAGCUGAGGUGCGAAAGCAUGGGGAGCAAACAAGAUUAGAUACCCUUGUAGUC
rnacentral:rRNA from 1 species